GGGAGGAUCAUCAUGGAGGAGGAACCUAGAGGAAGAGGGAACAAGAGGGUCAUGAAGACAGGAUCCCGAGGAGAGAGCAUCCCUGCUGUGAGAGUAAGCGUUCUUAAUACCUCGAGAGGAAGCCUGAGAGAAAACACAUGUGAGGGAAACCAAACUGCAAGUGUUGGCAACACUAUUUAAUGAACUGUGGUUUGAAUGAAAAGACUGAAGAACUUAGUAAUGCUACUGUUAUAUCAAAAUAGCCCUUUCAGGCUAUUUCCACGUUCUGUGAACUCUUGGUCCCAUAGGAAACUGGCCCUCCAAGUGAGUCAGGCACCCAAACUGCCUGCAGCACCCCAAAAAGAAGAACGGCUCACAUGAUGUCAGGAGGGAUAACGAGCAGCUAAGAAGCAUGUACAGGAAAACACCAAGCAGAGAAGGAAGGACAUCUGAUCUAGUCUCUUGUCCCCUACUAAGGAAAAACUAAAUACGGCUGCUUGCAAGACAUCUCCAUUACCCAACAUUCAGAGGCUAAAACGACCUCAAAGACAGUCCUGAAAAAUCCUGGUAGAUGCUUUGUCUUUGUCUUUCAAGAAAACAAAAAGUAGCAGAGAGUGAUACUUGCAUUCUUCUUUGUCAGCAUCACGGGUCCCCCAAAGCCUUAAGGACAUCCACAGCCUUAGUAGCUUCCUUUCUCCUUCCUCUCAGGAAAGAUUUUUAGCCAGUUAAGAGCUAUUUCCUACAGUUAUGCUUAACCUCUUUGGGACUGAAACCCAUUUGUGAUUGAAAAGAGCGUGUGGAUUGCUUUUAGUACAUAGAAUGACACAAAAUCAAGAGUUGUAAGGAGUCUAACACAUCACUCAGCUGUCACUCCAAUUAUUUACCACACUCACUUCAAACCAGGUCAACAUGGUCCCCACGCCCAAUGGUCAAUUCCUAAUUCAAUAUGCAACGUCACUGACACUGACACAGAUAACAAUCCUUUCUCUUCACAGUUCAGCUGUGGUCUCUAAGACACACCAUUCAAAACAUCUACAUCUACAAUAAGUAAAGAGUACAUGCUUGCAUGCCUUUUUUUAGAGGUAUGUAAGGAAAACAGGCUGGUUGUUCUGCUAGAACAUUUGUAUCCUACCUCUUCUAACUUUAAAGAUAUCGAAGCAGUUAAAGCUUGGCAGUCUUAAAAAUACAAAAGACUAAGUUAAUACUGUGUCUUUGCUGGAAUCUGGGCAGAUAAGCACGUUCACACUGUUACCUUGUUGAUCAAUAGGAUCUGCAAGUGCAUACAACCUGCCUUUUUAAGAAAAGUACAAGUGCAGUACCACUUGAAAUUGCCACUGCAACAAUUGUUUGACCACUCUGGUUUGAAUACUUUUCCAUCUCUUGUUUUCAAAGUCUUAGAACAAGGAAAAAAUAAUGUUGAACUUGCUCUUCCAAUUCUUAGGUUGUUUUAUAAACUACUGUAAAAUAUCUCCAAUCCAAACAAGCUCAGUUACUUUGCAAUGGUCUUAGAGCACCUACCUAGCUGUGAAAUUCUUAAUAUAUAAUAUAUAAAUAUAUAAUAUAUAAAAAGGUAUAAAUGCACAACAGAAAUAAUAGUAGGAAAGUACUCAACGAUGAUUCCCACAAUCCGAACAUAAUAUCCAGAAAGCCAAGCCAUUCUCCCCAUAAACCAAUUAUCUAAAAAUAAUGUCAAUAAAUGACAUUUUAUCAGACAUUACCUCCAUCUGCCUCUUUUCAGCGGCUUCUGCUAGUUGUCUUCUUUUUAUUUCCUAGAUAUAAAGACAGGGAAAUUCUACUUCAAUAUAGUCUUUGCAUUCUUUUUCAAGUCUUAAUUUUUAAGUACGACUCAAAUCUGUGAUACUAACUCCCACAAUAUGUCAACUUCAAGUCAAUUAGCAUCAUCUUCCCCCGCACUGCCAGCCUGCAAGAACCAAGCGGUUUUUUUAGUGACUAAUAUGCCAGAAGAGCAGCUGCUGACAUAUAUACAGUCAAACCCCAGCAGAAAUCGCCAUUCUGCUCUUCCGCACCUCCACUCGAAAAAAUCCAGACUGAGGUGAAAUGGCACACAUGAAAGGUCCUUUUAGAGUCCGGAAAGGGGAACGCUUGCUCUUCCAGGCAGAGCGGGCUCCUUUCCUUCUCCCCCACGAAAUCCUCAGAUGAGGAGUACAAAGCACAGAGAUGGGCUCUUACUCACCUAGGAAAAAUGUCACGCACUGCAGGGUAGUUAGAAGCGAGCAUCGCUAUGCGCUGGAGAAAAAAGCCCGGCUUUUCCCAUUUCUCGUAAAAACGGGGGUCAUACCGGCCACGGUCACGCAUUAACAGGUCC